CGGGUGAGUAACAUGUAGGUAUCUGCCCUUUGGCCUGGAAUAACACGAGGAAACUUGUGCUAAUACCAGAUAAGUCCUUACAGAGAAAGCUUUAUGCACCAUUGGAUGAGCCUGCACUUGAUUAGUUUGUUGGUAGGGUAAUGGCCUACCAAGACUGUGAUCAAUAGCUGAUUUGAGAGGAUGAUCAGCCACAUUGGGACUGAGACACGGCCCAAACUCCUACGGGAGGCAGCAGUGGGGAAUCUUGCACAAUGGAGGAAACUCUGAUGCAGCGAUGCCGCGUGAGUGAAGAAGGCCCUUGGGUUGUAAAGCUCUUUCGUCGGGGAAGAAAAUGACUGUACCCGAAUAAGAAGGUCCGGCUAACUUCGUGCCAGCAGCCGCGGUAAUACGAAGGGACCUAGCGUAGUUCGGAAUUACUGGGCUUAAAGAGUUCGUAGGUGGUUGAAAAAGUUGGUGGUGAAAUCCCAGAGCUUAACUCUGGAACUGCCAUCAAAACUUUUCAGCUAGAGUAUGAUAGAGGAAAGCAGAAUUUCUAGUGUAGAGGUGAAAUUCGUAGAUAUUAGAAAGAAUACCAAUUGCGAAGGCAGCUUUCUGGAUCAUUACUGACACUGAGGAACGAAAGCAUGGGUAGCGAAGAGGAUUAGAUACCCUCGUAGUCCAUGCCGUAAACGAUGUGUGUUAGACGUUGGAAAUUUAUUUUC
rnacentral:rRNA from 1 species